AAGAAAUCUAAGCCCAGCCUGAAGGUGGAUGCAAAGAUUGGCCAUUAACCGUAUUUCAUCUUCGACCCUCCACGUCUUAACCUGACGAUAACACGGGGAUGCACUUCAACUGGACGACGGGCCGUGAGGGUCGCUGCUUUUGCCUUCUGUGCUUGAAGCUCCUUCAGUCAUCGUGCAAGUGAAGGCUAAGAGAGGAGAAGUUUUAAUGUUGAAGUUGGCGGGGUGUGACAUGCAGAUGAAUGCCAUU
rnacentral:misc_RNA from 1 species